GACAAAUACUGCAGAUGCUGCACAGCCACGUUAAAAAGAGAAUUUUGCCAAGUUGGAGGGCUUCGAGCAGCAUCCGUGGCGGGAGAAGGAGGAUCUUUCUUAGAUCAGAUCCAGCGAAGGGCUGGCGAGCCUCAGUGUUCAGGCUGGUUCUCUCUGCCCGGUCAACAUGACGGCCUCUCAUAAAGGUUCCCAACUUCUCUGCCCUCACAGCGUUAAGAACACUGAAUCCCUGGUUCCGGGAUCCGCACCUACCUUCCUGGCCUCAACCUCCUGCAACCCCCUCCCGGUAUGGUCCGGUGGGAAACUCAAAAGAUCAAACUAAAAUUAUCAGAAUGCUGCCUGACCUGCUGGCUUCUUCCAACAUCCCCUGCUGCACUGCUUCCUCCAUCUGAAUCAUACACAGUUCCAAUGUGCUUGUCAUUAAAAUCAGACAAUUGUUUCACACUGUUUGCACUUAACACCAUGUGAAUCAUCUCGCUGAUUCUAUAUCACAGCAUAUCACACUCUGUAUCCAAUUAACACUAUUGUUUGACAUCACACUCCAUCUAUAUAGGAACACUGAUGUUCAUGCUAAAUUGUAUCUACAUAGUGGGAUCUCCAAAGCUGGUUACAAAUUCUGAUGAAGGGGCUUGGCCUGAAAUGUUGACUGGUUACUCUUUUCCAUAGAUGCUCUCUGGCCUGUUGCGUUCCACCAGCACUUUGUGUGUGUUGCUUGGAUUUCCAGCAUCUGCAGGUUUUCCCUUGUUUACGAUAUGCAAACAAUAACUUUGCUUACAUUAGACCUGAUGUGAUUUCCACUACACUAGCUCAUGAGGAAUCAGGGUGCAGCAAUUGAGGCAAAAGAUCCUCUGAAUGGUAGAGCAAGCAUGUGAGGCCAAAUGAUCUGCUCCACCAUCACUUUCAUACAGUAUGUGCUUCUAUUCUGUGAUAUUAGUUAACUUCUUUUGAUGAAUUAAAAUCCACUUUUUAUUUCAAA